rnacentral:lncRNA from 1 species
GCAAAUUUCGGGAAUUUUUCUUUUUAAUAUUCCGUUUCCACAAAAAUUAAUAUUUAAGUAGCAGUUUUCGAUGAGUUUGCUUCAUUUAGCUUUUGAUCAUAAAGUAGUAGUAGCUCUAGAGUGACCAUGGGUACAAUGUGAUUGUGUUUAAGACAUGUGUUCAUCUACCGUGUUGGUUGUUGUUGACGUGAUAACAACCAUAGUUUCAUAUAGUAACCCGAUAGAGACGCUAACUUGGUGAAAAGAAACUGGAGCUGCAACGGCACUUGAAGAUAGGGCUAGUGGCUUUCAGUGGAUGUAUGCUCAAUGUGUGGACGUAAGUCCCUUCAAAUUGUUAAGUUACAUGAAAAAGGAUUUGUGGCUUAUUGAAUGAAAUUGUGUUACUCACAGGUUUUGGGAGAUCCGAGGUGGGGACGAUGCUAUGAGAAUUAGUUGAGUGUGUUUCUAAAUUUGUAUUUUUGUGUGUUUUAGUUGAGUGUGUUAAAUAUAGUAUAUGACUCUAUUAGACAGAGGAGCAAUGUAUUCAUUUUUGUGCAUAUUAUGAUGUUAAAACAUCGAAAAUUGUUUAUGAAAGGCAUCCUAAAGUUCAAAAAAAUCAUUCCUGAAUUUUACACAAUCCUUCCUUUAAGUUCAACACAGUUAAAAUAAAAGUGCUAACAGAAACAAGUGACAUUAUUAUGAUGCAGAUUCAUCAUACAAGUACCAAAACAAUAUCAAAA